GGAACGCCGCUGCCGCAGCCCACCGCCGCCGCCGCCGCCGCCGCCGCCUCAUCGCAGACCGCCCCCAAGGUUGCCGCCGACGCAGGCGGCACGCAGAGCCAGCUGGUUCGCAGACAAGCGCGUCAUCCGUGGCGUGGCGCGGUGCGGCCGCUAUUCCUGGUGUUUACUUUCGGCGCAUCGCAGCGCACAGUAGGAAUCGCUUUAUUUCGGGGCGCACUGAGGCGCUGCUGGCACCGCCGGCAGUAAAGCGUAUCAGCAAGGCUCAAGUAUUUUCGGCAGUCGGACUUCACCGGCGUGCUCCGCCCGGCGAGACGACGUCUUUCGUAAAAAGGUGGCAGCACAGAAUUCCGUGCUGCGGGCCAGAAGUUCCUGACGCCGCCGCCAGAUCGCGCCACGACGCAGCCAACGUAGUCGCUUGGUCGGCAACAAGUGGUCGAGAUUCGAGGACCGGCUUAAGAAGUUGAAAGUUAUGGCGCUGCCGUUCUCGCUGAGGCGAGCAUGUACAGCACGCGCGGCCGCUCGCCCGUGCUGCAGGUGGCGCAGCUGCCGGCGCUGGGGCUGAGCCAGCGCUUCUCGUCGCCACCGCCGCCCC